rnacentral:misc_RNA from 1 species
UUUCCGUAGGUGAGCCUGCGGAAGGAUCAUUACAGUAGUCACCCAGGUUGCCGCAAGGCCUCCUGGGUAACCUACCACCCUUUGUUUAUUACACUUUGUUGCUUUGGCAAGCCUGCCCUCGGGCUGCUGGCUCCGGCCGGCGAGCGCUUGCCAGAGGACCUAAACUCUGUUUGUCUAUACUGUCUGAGUACUAUAUAAUAGUUAAAACUUUCAACAACGGAUCUCUUGGUUCUG